AUUGAACGCUAGCGGGAUGCUUUACACAUGCAAGUCUAACGGAGUUGCGGACGGGUGAGUAAUAUAUCUGACCGUGCCCAGUAGCGUGGGCUAACUACUCGAAAGAGUGGCUAAUACCGCAUACUCUCGGAGCGGCCUAUAGGGGAUUAGCUAGUUGGUGGUGUCCCGGCUCACCAAGGCAACGAUCCGUAGCUGGUUUGAGAGGACGACCAGCCACAUUGGGACUGAGACACGGCCCAGACUCCUACGGGAGGCAGCAGGGGGGAAUUUUGGACAAUGGGGGAAACCCUGAUCCAGCCAUCACGCGUGGAUGAUGAAGGCCUUCGGGUUGUAAAGUACUUUUGGCAGAGAAGCGGUAUCUGCAGAAUAAGCACCGGCUAACUACGUGCCAGCCGCCGCGGUAAUAC
rnacentral:rRNA from 1 species